rnacentral:rRNA from 1 species
GACGAACGCUGGCGGCGUGCUUAACACAUGCAAGUCGAACGGAAAGGCCCUGCUUUUGUGGGGUGCUCGAUUGGCGAAGGGGUGAGUAACACGUGAGUAACCUGCCCUUGACUUUGGGAUAACUUCUGGAAACUGGGGCGAAUACCGGAUAGGAUCUCCUGCUGCAUGGUGGUGGUUGGAAAGUGACGGCGGUUGUGGAUGGACUCGCUGGUUAUCAGCUUGUUUGUGGGGUAGUCGCGUACCACGGCUUUGACGGGUAGCCGGCCUGAGAGGGUGAACGGCCACAAUGCGACUGCGAUACGGACCAGUAUGCUACCGGACGCAGCAGUGGGGAACAUUGCACAAUGGGCGGGAGUCUGAUGUAGCAACGCCGCGUGCGGGAUAACGGCCUUCGGGUGGUAAACAGAUUUCGACGGAGACGUAGCGUGAGUGACGGUAAUGGGUAAAGAAGCACCGGCUAACUACGUG